AAAGGUUUAUCUCACUCCACCACCUGAGCUGCUGCUGUUCACCAUGGACGAAAAAACUGAGUGAGCCCUGGUUACCUUGAUGACAGCACAGAAAUACUUACAUGCAGCCAACAGGACAAGCUGGAGAGCAGACAGAGAGACUGAAGGUUCCUGCAGUGCAUCCAGAGUUACCUUUACAAGACAGCUGGAGAGAAGUGGUCGUCUGCAUUUCAGUCCACUGUGGCUCCUGAGAGUGGAUGUGAACCAAACCACAGAAAGCUGCCAUCCCAGCCGUCCACUGAGCGCACUCUCUCCCACUAAUGUCUGAACUGCACUGGUUUGGUGUUGCAUUCAAUAAAACACUCAGACAUA